rnacentral:lncRNA from 1 species
AGCUUGCUAUGUAACCCAGGCCAGUCUUGGAUUUGCUGUUCUGCCUCUGCCUCCUGAGUAGCCAAGAUUACAAGAGCACUCCACCAAGUCUGGCUGACAAUGUUCUGUGUAGAACUUGGACCAAGUCUGGGCUUCAGAGACAGUUUGGCUUUGCCUUCACCAGGUGCCACACCAGGGCAGAAAAGUACAACAUGGAGAAUCUGAGGUUGGGAUCCUCCUUAGAUGACUGUGUAUACUUGUAAAUAAAUGAAGCAGGUAUGCCCCCAGAGUUCUAUAUCAGAGGGAGCCAAGAAAAACUGAGUGGAUCAGGAGGAGGAAGGGGCAUGGGACUCCACCAUCUCUGAGAAAAGCCAACUGCAGGGCCCUUGCUUUAUGAAAAGCAGUGGAGACACCCAGUCACUUCUGCAGCAUAGAAGUGACACCCUUUGGACACAUAGCUGAGUGCAGGCCAUCAGAUCCUAGGAUUUCUUGGCCUGGGUCUAGGGACAUCUGGCUUCCUCACAUGCCUGGAUCCUAAUUCCAAUGUAGUUUUAGAAACGAGAAGAAAGAGGGUUCAGACAUACAGCUCAGAUUUCUAGCCUUCAGCCAUUUGCAUUCUGUCACCAUGUCUAUUUUACAAUCAGAUAGACACUUUGGGGUGCUGAGGAGGACACCAGGAGUAGGUGGGAAAGAGUGGGAGGGGCCACCCCGUAACAGCAGUUGCUUCUCAGGCAGGAAAGCCCAUGAACCACAGAUAGAGGCCCAGGAAAGAGUACAUUAACAGGCAGGUGCUGGGUUCAGUGACUCCGGCAGACUUGAUGGUGCCAGACUAGGGAUGCCAGCUGAUCUAUCUGCAGGUAUCAGAAAGUGAGACUGUCAGUGUGAAAGAGGUGAGAUACUGAGAAAUCGCUGUAGUUUCUGUUUUCCCACUCCCAGGGAGGAGCAAAACUGAAGGACAGGUAAUUCCCUCCCUUUCUUUCCAGGAAAAGCAAGCAGGGCUUUGUAUUUCAAGACCUUGAUGCCCUGACCCCAGGCGGGGGAUUUCCAGUUCUUUGUGAAUCUAGCCCACCUAGGGGAAUUGAGGAGCCUUCCAAGGAGGGGGUAGCAGUUACUGCCUUAGUCGGGACAAAGGUUCUUUAAAGGAGGCUGCAGAUUCAGAGAGGAGUCUCAAGGCUUUAGAACAGAAGCACCCGAGAGAAAGCAAGAAGCAGGGCAUGCUGGGGGUUUGGAAGAACAGAAACACUAAGGGAUGAGAGUGACUCAUUGAUUGACAACAAGCAGCAUGGAAUGGCUGACAUGGAUUUCAAUUUCCCAGAACAGUCUACUCUCCUCCCUUCCUGGGCCACAGUGUUGGUUACUCAGCUGUGUACUAACUAGCCUCAUGGCAGGCUCUAGAAAUAAAUCUACUUGGUGUGUCUUGG